CAAGCCCCAGUGCACAAGUGCUUUCCAAACUUCUGCUUGCCUGAUGUUUCUUAAUGUCUCCUUGGCUGAAGCAAUGGCCAAGCCCACAUUCAAGAGCUAGAGACAGAGCUUAUACCUGUUGAUGGGAGGAAGAGCAGAGUCACAUUGCAAAGGGGUAUGCCUACAAUUUUGGAAGGAAUUCGUGGACAUUCGGCAAUUUCUUACAGACAUGUGACACUUUCGGGCUGAAGCACUUAAGAGCCAGUGUGCCCUGUCCAUUUCUGUCUUCUGUCCUGUGGAUUUGGAAGCAUGUGUUGACAGAACAAUGUCUUAUGGUGAAGGAAGCCUAAACCCCUGAGUCAUUGGAUGGAGGAGAGCCCAUGUUGACCCAUAAAGGACUUCAUGGUCUCGCUCUGUCACCCAGGCUGGAGUGCAGGCGUGCUAUCUUGGCUCACUGCAACUUCUGCUUCCCGAGUUCAAGAGAUCCUCAUACCUCAGCCUCCUGAGUAGCCGGGACUACAGGCAUGCGCCACCACACCCAGAUAUGACUUAGAAUAUGAUUGAAUAUGAAUACAUGAUUGAAGAUAUAUUAUAAAAUUGAGAUACUUGUUGCAACACAACAGGGAAAUGAAUACAGAAGGGCUCAAAGUAUUUUAUAGAGGGUAUACGAGCAAUUUGACGUCGCAGAAAACCUGUCAGAAAGAAGCACCAUGGAAUAGAGGAAAGAGGCCCGGAAUCCAGCCCCGGGAACUGUGACAGCCUCUGG
rnacentral:lncRNA from 10 species